rnacentral:lncRNA from 1 species
AACCCAAAGAUGGACACUCCAUAUAUGAUAUGGUGUGUUCCUUAAUAUGCUUCACAAAUCUCAUUCUGGGGAUAUAUCUUAGAUAUUACUGCAUGUGUUUUGAAUUGGAUACUGUCAAUAUCUGUUACUAACACUCCAUAUGAGAUAUGGAAAGAGGUAGGUUGCCCAACUUAUAUGAAAAGAGUUGAUAUACAUAAGUUUUGUGCUAGAACAUGUUUAUAUAAGUUUAUAGGU